rnacentral:rRNA from 1 species
CCCUUAGAUGUUCUGGGCCGCACGCGCGCUACACUGACACGUUCAUCAAGUCUAUAACCUUGACCGAGAGGUCUGGGUAAUCUUUUAAAAACGUGUCGUGCUGGGGAUAGAUUAUUGCAAUUAUUAAUCUUCAACGAGGAAUUCCUAGUAAACGCAAGUCAUCAACUUGCAUUGAUUACGUCCCUGCCCUUUGUACACACCGCCCGUCGCUACUGCCGAUUGAAUGAUUUAGUGAGUACCAGGGACCGAGCGCUUUGGUUGGGUUUCCUUCCCUAGCGCUUGGGAACUGUCGCAAACUUGACCAUUUAGAGGAAGUAAAAGUCGUAACA